AAGUCGUAACAAGGUUUCCGUAGGUGAACCUGCGGAAGGAUCAUUAAUACGCUUUUGUUUGAAACAAAACAAAACGUUUUAAACCCCAAAAUUGAAAUAGUGGAAACAUAUCUUCCGGAUGCGAAUGUUGGGGAACUGAGUAAAAUCGGUUCUUUGAAAAAGGACCUCAAGCAAUUGACACUUCAGAGUAGAGCAGUGAGGUGAAACUCGCAAGAGUUUGGUUCUGAAAAACAUUUGUAUCCGGUUAUCAAAUCUGUUCUACCAAAUUAUCAAACAAUAAACCCCAUGUACAACAACUUGAACUAAACAUUUUUUUGUUGUCUGCUUCGCGGCAGAUGUGCAUAGAAAAACCUGAACUUAAGAACAACUCUUAACAACGGAUAUCUUGGUUCUC
rnacentral:misc_RNA from 1 species